rnacentral:rRNA from 1 species
GUAGGGUGCGAGCGUUAAUCGGAAUUACUGGGCGUAAAGCGUGCGCAGGCGGUUUGGUCAGUCAGAUGUGAAAGCCCCGGGCUCAACCUGGGAACUGCAUUUGAGACUGCCAGGCUGGAGUGUGGCAGAGGGGGGUGGAAUUCCACGUGUAGCAGUGAAAUGCGUAGAGAUGUGGAGGAACACCGAUGGCGAAGGCAGCCCCCUGGGUCACUACUGACGCUCAUGCACGAAAGCGUGGGGAGCAAAC